ACGGGAGGCAGCAGUGGGGGAUAUUGCACAAUGGGGGAAACCCUGAUGCAGCGACGCCGCGUGAGUGAUGAAGUAUUUCGGUAUGUAAAGCUCUAUCAGCAGGAAAGAUAAUGACGGUACCUGACUAAGAAGCACCGGCUAACUACGUGCCAGCAGCCGCGGUAAUACGUAGGGAGCGAGCGUUAUCCGGAUUCAUUGGGCGUAAAGCGCGCGUAGGCGGACCGUUAAGCGGGAUGUUAAAGCCCGGGGCUCAACCCCGGCCCGCAUCCCGAACUGGCGGUCUUGAGUUCGGUAGGGGAGGACGGAAUUCCCAGUGUAGCGGUGAAAUGCGCAGAUAUUGGGAAGAACACCGAUGGCGAAAGCAGUCCUCUGGGCCGCAACUGACGCUGAGGCGCGAAAGCUGGGGGAGCGAACAGGAUUAGAUACCCUGGUA
rnacentral:rRNA from 1 species